AUACGUAGGGUGCAAGCGUUAAUCGGAAUUACUGGGCGUAGAGCGUGCGCAGGCGGUUUUGUAAGUCAGUGGUGAAAUCCCCGGGCUCAACCUGGGAACUGCCAUUGUGACUGCAAGGCUGGAGUGCGGCAGAGGGGGAUGGAAUUCCGCGUGUAGCAGUGAAAUGCGUAGAUAUGCGGAGGAACACCGAUGGCGAAGGCAAUUCCCUGGGCCUGCACUGACGCUCAUGCACGAAAGCGUGGGGAGCAAACAGGAUUAGAUACCCUGGUAGUCCACGCCCUAAACGAUGUCAACUGGUUGUUGGGGAUUUAUUUUCUCAGUAACGAAGCUAACGCGUGAAGUUGACCGCCUGGGGAGUACGGCCGCAAGGUUAAAACUCAAAGGAAUUGACGGGG
rnacentral:rRNA from 1 species